rnacentral:rRNA from 1 species
ACGCUCGACACCUACGGGAGGCGGCAGUGGGGAAUAUUGCACAAUGGGGGAAACCCUGAUGCAGCGACGCCGCGUGAGCGAAGAAGUAUUUCGGUAUGUAAAGCUCUAUCAGCAGGGAAGAAACUGACGGUACCUGACUAAGAAGCACCGGCUAAAUACGUGCCAGCAGCCGACGGUAAUCUGAGCGGGCUGGCAAGGC